rnacentral:tRNA from 1 species
CUGCGGGUAGCUCAGUUGGUAGAGCGCAUGUAAUUACCGGCUGUUCGACCACUUGCCCGAGUCGGGCCGAUGAGCGGUCGUUAUCUCUGGGACAUGAUGUCGCUGGUUCAAGUCCAGCCCCGCAGA